ACGCUGGCGGCAGGCCUAACACAUGCAAGUCGAGCGGUAGCACAGGAGAGCUUGCUCUCUGGGUGACGAGCGGCGGACGGGUGAGUAAUGUCUGGGAAACUGCCUGAUGGAGGGGGAUAACUACUGGAAACGGUAGCUAAUACCGCAUGACCUCGCAAGAGCAAAGUGGGGGACCUUCGGGCCUCACGCCAUCGGAUGUGCCCAGAUGGGAUUAGCUAGUAGGUGGGGUAAUGGCUCACCUAGGCGACGAUCCCUAGCUGGUCUGAGAGGAUGACCCAGCCACACUGGAACUGAGACACGGUCCAGACUCCUACGGGAGGCAGCAGUGGGGAAUAUUGCACAAUGGGCGCAAGCCUGAUGCAGCCAUGCCGCGUGUGUGAAGAAGGCCUUAGGGUUGUAAAGCACUUUCAGCGAGGAGGAAGGCGUUGUAGUUAAUAGCUGCAGCGAUUGACGUUACUCGCAGAAGAAGCACCGGCUAACUCCGUGCCAGCAGCCGCGGUAACACGGAGGGUGCAAGCGUUAAUCGGAAUUACUGGGCGUAAAGCGCACGCAGGCGGUUUGUUAAGUCAGAUGUGAAAUCCCCGAGCUUAACUUGGGAACUGCAUUUGAAACUGGCAAGCUAGAGUCUUGUAGAGGGGGGUAGAAUUCCAGGUGUAGCGGUGAAAUGCGUAGAGAUCUGGAGGAAUACCGGUGGCGAAGGCGGCCCCCUGGACAAAGACUGACGCUCAGGUGCGAAAGCGUGGGGAGCAAAC
rnacentral:rRNA from 1 species